GUUUUUCUGUCAUGCAGAUAACAUGUUUGUCUUUUAUUGAAGGUCACUUGUAUUUCUUCAGCCAUACUUUUAGGUAGACAGCAUUCUUCUGCACAGGGAUCAUAAUCUGCCAUGUGCUAAUAGCACAUGUCACUCUACUCCAGAAGUGACAUCCUUGUGGUGACCACCUUUAAAACAGAGUAUCUAUCAUAUGAUAGCAGCUGAGAGGCAUGAGGGUGACAUACAUUGUGCAACAAUAAAGAUGAUACUGUGGGAGUUAUGUACAAUCUUUAGUCAGGCUGUCCAAGCUCUUUUAGCAAAGACAGUAAUAUAGAUAACGCAUUUGUAGCAAAGUGAAAAAUAAACCUGCCCUACUUCUGCAAUUAUCAAAUAAUCAAAAUAAUCACUACAUCCUCAAACAUAAAUCUUUGCAUUAAGGUGUUGUUUUUUCUUUUUUUUUUUUUUUUUUUUUUUUUUUUUUGUUUUUUUUUUUUUUUUUUUUUUUUUUUUUGUUUGUUUUUGAUUUUUUUUUUUUUUACCCAAGUGGAUAAGAUUCAGUCCUGUGUUGAAAGUAUUUUCCAGUGUUUUAUUAAUCUGACAG
rnacentral:lncRNA from 12 species